GAUGAACGCUAGCUACAGGCUUAACACAUGCAAGUCGAGGGGCAGCAUUAUCGAAGCUUGCUUUGAUAGAUGGCGACCGGCGCACGGGUGAGUAACGCGUAUCCAACCUUCCCCAUAGUCAGGAAUAGCCCGGCGAAAGUCGAAUUAAUGCCUGAUGUUUUCCACGGACGGCAUCUGAUGUGGAACAAAGAUUGAUCGCUAUGGGAUGGGGAUGCGUCUGAUUAGCUUGUUGGCGGGGUAACGGCCCACCAAGGCAACGAUCAGUAGGGGUUCUGAGAGGAAGGUCCCCCACAUUGGAACUGAGACACGGUCCAAAACUCCUACGGGAGGCAGCAGUGAGGAAUAUUGGUCAAUGGGCGGAAGCC
rnacentral:rRNA from 1 species